GUUGUUUUCAACUGACUGACAGAAUUGCAGAGUCAAAGGGAAAGGACAUUCAUAUUGUUGACCUGUAUACCGUACCAACAUGGCUACCCCCAAUGAGCUGUGAUCCAAUGUUAAGUCUGCCUGAUGAUGCUCACUUAAAAGAAGCGGUGGUGAUUCCAAUAUGGACACCAGGACACUACCAGCUGUGUGGAAAUUGCAUGUAGGAUUAUACCGGGAAAAUGGACUGAAAAAACAGGCCUUGAUUUACUGGUUGGCUGUCUAUCUAAUCUUUCCUUCUAUCUAUCUGUAAUCUAUCCAUCUAUGAAAUUGUGCUUAUUCCCGCCUUUCAAUAUAAUUAAGGGUUUUCCAGGACAACCAUAUGGAAACGACUGUGGUAUAUUUAUGUUGAUGUCUGCAUUGUACAUAGUGCUGGAUGCCCCAUUUGACUACACAAUUCUGGACAUGGCAGAGCUGAGGAAAUGGUGG